rnacentral:rRNA from 1 species
UACAGAGGUCCCGAGCGUUGUUCGGAAUUAUUGGGCGUAAAGGGUGCGUAGGCGGUAGGAUAAGUUAGAUGUGGAAAUCCCAGGGCUUAACCCUGGAACUGCAUUCAAUACUGCUUUGCUAGAGUACUGGAGAGGAGAUUGGAAUUCACGGUGUAGCAGUGAAAUGCGUAGAUAUCGUGAGGAAGACCAGUGGCGAAGGCGAAUCUCUGGACAGAUAACUGGACGCUGAGGCACGAAGGCUAGGGGAGCAAACGGG